UCCGCCCUGGCCGGGCCGGGUCGGGCCGGGCUGCCCAUGGCAGGACUACCCGCAGCCCUAUCGCUGCUCCUCUCCUGGUGCGCCGCUCGACCUCCUCCUUCCUCCCACUCAGGUGCGCCGCCGGCCCUCUUCCUCCCUCCCUCCCUGCUGCGCCGCCGGCCCUCUCCCUAGCUUCAGCUCGUGCGCGCCGCGGGUCCUCUCCCUCGCUCCACAUCUUGCGCCGCCGGACCUCUUCCUCGAUCCAUCUCCUGCGCCGCCGGUUUCCUUUCUUGCUGCCUCUCCUGCGCUGCCGGCGUGUCGGACGUUCAAAAAUCUCGUCCCCCCUUUGGGUUAGCGUAGACAGGCAAGGGGGCGGCAUUACCACCGGUGGAGAUUGCACACUAGGACCGACCCCAGGCUUUAUGGACUAGCCAAGAACCCUAAACAAAAAAAUCCCCAUCUUCUUCCCCUCCAAAUCUCCCAAUCCCCUGCUCAUUCGAGAAAAUCUACCCGAGAUUCCGCACGAGCACCGCCGGUUCCCUCUAAGAAGGGGAGGGAUCCGACCCAUCUCCGCGCCGGCAAAUCGGGGAAGAUGAAUCCCCUGACGCAGGUGAAGCGGACGCAGGUGAUAAACCAGAAGGAGGCGGCGCUGGGCCUCAGCGAGGACGCAUCCUGGCACGCCAAGUUCAGGGGCUCCGCCUACGUCUUCGUCGGAGGCGUCCCCUUCGACCUCACCGAAGGCGACCUCCUCGCCGUCUUCGCGCAGUACGGCGAGGUGGUCGAUGUGAACCUCGUGCGCGACAAGGCCACCGGCAAGUCCAAGGGCUUCGCAUUCGUCGCCUAUGAGGACCAGAGGAGCACGGUUCUUUCCGUCGAUAACUUGAAUGGGGCUAAGGUUCUUGGGAGGAUCAUCAGGGUUGACCAUGUGGAGAAGUACAAGAAGAAGGAGGAGGAGGACGAUGAGGAGCUGCAGAAGAAGAGAGAGGAGCGCGGCGUGUGCUAUGCUUUCCAGAAAGGCGAGUGCAACCGCGGCGAUGCGUGCAAAUAUUCCCAUGAUGAACAGAGAAAUGCAAACACUGGUUGGGGUUCUAAGGAGGAUGACCCAAAAUGGGAGCAUGACAGACACCGUGGUCCACAAAAUAAGGGGGAAUCCCGUGGUGUCUGCUAUGCUUUCCAGAAAGGCGAAUGCAGUCGGGGAGAUACCUGCAGGUUUUCGCAUGAUGAGCAGGUAGCUGUCCAGGGACGUGGCGUCUGCUAUGCUUUCCAGAAAGGCGAGUGCAGUCGCGUAGCUUCCUGCAGAUUUUCACAUGAUGAGCAGAGAAAUGCAAACACUGAUCGAGGUUCUAGGGAGGACAGCAAUGCAAGGCGGCAGCAUGACCAUGAUCCACCAAAGAGCCACAAAAAUUUCCCUGACAGGACUAAAGAAGAGGCGAGAUCAGGGGAUAGGGAUGGUCAAUCCUCAAGAUCAGAGUUGUACAGGGACCGAGAUUCUAGGACAAGAUAUGGCGAUAGAGACACAAAAGAUAGGGACAGGAACAUGCAGGAGAAAUCCCCUGAGAGAUCCAGAGGCGACAGGCAGAGAGGCGAUGACAGGGGAAGAGAAGAUAGAUCAGACACAAAAGAUAGGGACAGGAACGGGCACGAGAAAUCCCCUGAGAGAUCAAGAGGCGACAGGCAGAGAGGUGAUGACAGGGGGAGAGAAGAUAGAUCAGACGUAAAAGAUAGAGACAGGAACGGGUACGAGAAAUCCCCCGAGAGACCAAGAGGCGAUAGGCAGAGGGGCGAUGACAGGCGAAGAGAAGAUAGAUCAGAGAGCAAGCGGUCUAGGCACGACAGAGAUUCUGGUGUCCGUUACGAGAGAAGAGGCGACGAAGAGGAAGAACGGUACAGGAAAUCGCGGAGAUAAAACUUGGGUUUUCAGGGCACGCGCUGCCGUUGCUAUUCUAAUCUGGUUGAUGUUUGUACUUGUACAAGGGUUUCAACUCAAUCCAUUGGUUUCCACAGCAGUGUUCAUUAUUGUUAUAACACUUAUCUGGUGAAUCUUGUACCACUAUGGAAAGUUUUAUCAGUAAGUGAUGAGCUGGAGAUGAGAUGAACAGAACUUUUCGACAAAGGAGAUGAACAGAACUACACAACCUAAAUAACAAAGAACCCACAGCAAACACGCACGCUCUGAAGGUCUCUGCCACGGGCUCCAAAAAAUAAAAAUGAAAGCAAACAUGCCCUACAGGCCUACACAUCGGAGAAAUCCAGGAACGUUGACUCGGCGAGAUCGAUGGCGUGAGCGAGGCCAGCGGCCUUGUUCUGGCACUCCUGCUGCUCGUCUUCCGGCUUGCUGUCGGCAACGAUCCCGGCGCCGGUCUGGAGGUGCGCCACCCACUCCUGGCGCGUUGCUGCUAUCAGAGGCGUACGAGUACAUGGUGUCGAACCGGGAUGCUGUCGGGAAGACGAUGGUGCGCAGCGCGAAGGGGAUCUGGCCGAAGCCACCGCUGCAUGGUCCGCGCAUCUUCACCUCCAUCUCGUCGGUCAGCUCCAUCGCUCUCACCUGCCGAGUUUCAGAAGGGAGCAUGUGGGAAACUUAUGAACAAACUCAGGGAGCAGCAUGGAUGAAUGGAAUCUGAGCAACCGUUUGCUGCAACUCGAGAAACAUGGUGGAUCUGGCGCCUAUUUAUACCCCAUCUGGCGUCGCGAUUGCUCUCCAAAACAAUUACUUAUUUUGAUUCCAAUGCAUUUAGGUAGGUGAUCAUGUGAUCGCCAUCAUUUCUAACCUUUUCUUAAUUGCCAUAGAAAAAAACAGAGCUAACAAGAUAGCAGCAAGUAUGUAUAAUGUACUACUUACCUUGGGAGCACAACUGACGGUUCCAACAGGCAAUGCAGCCCGCGGGGCAUCCCAACA